AAUAUUUAUUUUAACCUUUUAACCAAUGUGUGCACUCAGUGGCAUUCAAUAUAUUCACAGUGUUGCAUAACCAACACUACUAUCUACACCUGAAAUUUUGAUUAUUUCUAACGAAACCUUGAAGAAGCCCAGCCAGGGCCAACCGGAAGGGCCUUUUGGUGAAGUCUGACAUCCUACAUUAGUUUCUCUGGACCUGGGUGAGAACCGGCCCCCAGGGGAAGGACUGUUUUGCCAGCACCAACUCUCCAGCUGGGCUGUUGGCAUCCGCAUUGUAUCAUAUAUCAAAAUUGUUUUUU
rnacentral:lncRNA from 1 species